rnacentral:rRNA from 1 species
CCGGCGACCGGCGCACGGGUGAGUAACGCGUAUGCAACCUGCCCGUUUCAGCGGGAUAACCCGGAGAAAUCCGGCCUAAUACCGCAUGUGGCCGAGGGGAGGCAUCUUCUUUCGGCCAAAGGAGGCGACUCCGGAGACGGAUGGGCAUGCGUGACAUUAGCUUGUUGGCGGGGUAACGGCCCACCAAGGCGACGAUGUCUAGGGGUUCUGAGAGGAAGGUCCCCCACACUGGUACUGAGACACGGACCAGACUCCUACGGGAGGCAGCAG